UGUCUGUCUCUCUCACCUUUCCUUGUGCCAUCAGCCUUCUGAGGACAUGGGUGGGGUGCUCAGUGUGCAUCCCCACAGGCUAGGUCUUGGGAGCCAUGGAGAAGGAAGAGCAGAGAAAACUCAUGAGGGGCAGUGGGUGCUGAAGUGGAGCAGUGACUGUUUACUCAUCUCUGUUCAUUGAGUUAGCCUCAGGUAGAUGACAAGGGACAGGAAGGAAGGGAUGAGGGCAAGAUUUCAUGCACGAAUAGAACUUGUACUGAUGGCUUAUGCAUGGGUUUUGCAGGUGCACUUGCAGAGGAAGUGUCCAGGAGCCCCAGGCCAGGAAGAAGCUGGCAGAAGUGGACUUGAUCAGCCUGAGCAUCCUUCUAAGCAGACAUGAACAGUCCUCUCCUUUUUGAAUCCUGCUUAACUUGCUGUGGUACCAGAGGAAAAGAAAUCCUGAACGAGAGUCCACUGCCGUCAUGCAAUGGAAAUUGAGCGAGAGUGAUGGGACCGCAGGAAAUUAUUGCUACCAUGAAAAAGCCAUUCAACUGGGAGUGAAACAACCGCCACUCUCAAUGAGAUAAGUGUCUGCUUUGGUGAUUGCUCUGUUUUUGAGUAGCUGUAGUUAUGAGGGAGACAAGGUCCCCAUUUUCAGGGACUGCUCAGUUCUCUGGCCAGUAGCAGUGUGUCCUCUGCAGCAGAUGGUUGGAUCCAGGAGGAUGACUGCAGGUGGUGAGUUGCUUGCCUUCCACCUGUGUUUUUCACUCUGUCUCUCUCUGUUCUCUAGUAAGUUGGCCAACACACAUCCUCUCUCUAUCCUUACCUUUCCUUCUGCCAUCUCCCUUCUUAGGACACAGGCAGGGGUGCUAGGUGUGCAUCCCCACAGGUUAGGUCUUGGGAGCCCUGGAGGAGUAGGAGGGGAAGGGGCAGUGGGUGCUGAAGUGGAGCAGUGACUGUUGGUGUUAACUCGUUCUCUGUUCGAGUGGCGCCAAUGUAGAUGGGAUGGAAGAGGGAGGCAGGAUUGAGGGCAAGAUUGCACACACCAAUAGGGCUUUGUGUCAUGAUGGCUCAUGCUUGGCUUUUGCAGGUGUUCCUGCAGAGGAAUUGUCCAGGAUCCCCAGCCGGAGGAGAGACUGCCAGAAAUGGAUCUGAGCAGCCUGGACUUCCUUCUAAGUAUACAUGAACAGUCCUCAGCUUUCUGAAUUCUGAAUAACUGGCUGAGAGUCAGAGUACCAAGAAAAAAGAAGACACAUGUCAGUCUAGUGCCCUCAUGUGAUGGACAGUGAUGAAGAGGGAUGGGACCUUGAGAAUUAUUCGAUGGCACAAAAAAGCCGUCCAUCUGGGAGUGGAACAGACACCACUGUCUCUGAGAUAAGUGUUCGUUUUGCUGAGGGUUCUUCUCAAGGCGCACCUGGCUCCAGAUAGAGACGCCCUGUUAGCUGGGCCUGGGUUUGUAUUAAAAAAAAAAAAAAUUCCUGAACAGCUGUGGUUACAAGGGAGACAAGGUCCCCCUUUUCGGGGCUGGUCAUUUCUCUGUUCAAAAGCAGCGUGUCCUCUGCAGCAGAAGGUUGGAUCCAGGGAGAUGGCUCCAGCUGGUGAGUUUCUUGCCUUGCUCCCAUGUUUCUCUUGCUGUCUGUCUCUUCUCUAGUGUGUUGGCCAACACUCUUUCUCUCU